UACGAAGGGGGCUAGCGUUGUUCGGAUUUACUGGGCGUAAAGCGCACGUAGGCGGAUUGUUAAGUCAGGGGUGAAAUCCUGGAGCUCAACUCCAGAACUGCCUUUGAUACUGGCAAUCUAGAGUCCGGAAGAGGUGAGUGGAACUCCUAGUGUAGAGGUGGAAUUCGUAGAUAUUAGGAAGAACACUAGUGGCGAAGGCGGCUCACUGGUCCGGUACUGACGCUGAGGUGCGAAAGCGUGGGGAGCAAACAGG
rnacentral:rRNA from 1 species